UUCUAUUUUUUUUGCUGGAGCUAAAACUAAUCAGCUAACUCCAUGGAUUAUUAUGCUUGGGCUGGGGAUUUGAUUUGUGGAUUUGAUUUGUGGCUCUUCUUUGAUUUGUGGCUUCAAUUGUGGAAGAGGAGGAACAUUCUUUAUCUUUUUGAUUUUCAAUUCAUGCUGGAAGCUUCAGUUGUUUUGAAUGUGAUUUUUAUUUUUCUUAAUUCUUGUAAUGCGAUUCUAGCACGUAAUUUGUUAUAUUUAGCCUAUUAUCUGGAAUUUAAUUAGUUAUUUCAGCUUAGGGCUUGAUGCGAGGAGCAACAUCCAUGGAGGUAAGCGAUUUCCCGGACGAUCAGAGGGAUAUAGCAACUUCAGGAUUGAUCGUGUUGGGUUCCCAAUAAAAAAAGAAAAAGAAAAAAAAGAAAAGGACUUUGGUAUGCUUUGCUUCACAUGGGGACCCAACAAAUUGGGUUAUUGUUGAUAGAGGUAUCUUUUAUCUACAGGCCAAGUUGUCCACUAGUGGUGAUGAAGCUUGGAAAGAGAGGGAAGCAGCUGCUUUCGCUCUUGGUGCAAUUGCUGAUGAUUGCAGUGCUGGUCUAUUGCCACAUUUACCAGAGAUUCAGAACCAAUAAACAUUAAAAUCCAUUUUUUAAAACUUUCUGCAGAUUGUUGCUUUUCUAAUCCCUGAAUUAAAUGAUUAGUUUCCUCUCAUAUGGAGUAUUUGCUGUUGGAGGCUUUCUCGUUUCAGCAAGUUUAUUAUUCAGGUAAAAUAGAUUUACUCCCAACACUUUUCUUUUUCAUGUAAAAGAUAAUUUCAUUUAUUUUGAUGGUUUUACCUAGGCUUUGGAUGAUUAACAA